CGAAAUUGACAUCGACAUCUUGAACGCACAUUGCGGCUCCGGGUCACUCCCGGAGCCACGCCUGUCUGAGGGUCGGCUGAACAAAGCACUCGCCAGGUCGUCUCGCUGCGGCGAGAGCGGCGGUACACCUUUCUGGCGCGUUGACAAGUCGCGUGGGGUGAGGCAAGAAAGGGAACCCCGGGCCUCCACAGAAACCGGGAACUCGCACGCUGACCCACCACGCGUCUGUCCCGAGACUACUCUCUCGGGGACCGACUCACCGGGGGCAAAAAAGAGUUAAGACCUAAAGGUAUCGGGGCCUACGGACACCUGGUUCGGGUAACCCCAGAGCGCUUCGUCACGGGCGACUUUCUUGACGGGCCUCUUCCUUGGGGCAAUUCCAACCCCUGGGACAUCGAGAGAUGUGCGCGGGUUCUGGCCGCGCAAGGUUAGCGGCUUUACCCUUCGACCAAAAACCCUUUAGCUCACCAACCUCCCAUCAGAAUAUACUACCCGCUGAAAUUAAACAUAUAAUUACUCGGAGGAAAACCAACUAACACGGAUUCCCCUAGUGACGGCGACAGAAGCGGGAAAGAGCC
rnacentral:rRNA from 1 species